AGUAUUGUGCACGGAAAGCAACGCAUGCCGUACCACCAGUGGGGGCGAUGAUUGUUAGGCGCAGGCUCAGCCUCGGUCGCAGUCUCGGUCGCAGUCGCAGUCGCCGACGCGGAGUCAGUGUCAGGGCUAGUGGCAGUGCAUGCCAAAGCCAUGAGGCUGAUUUCCAAGAAUAAGUUGUGAUUUCGUUCAAAUAGUUGAUCCAUUUUCCAAUAAGGAAUUGCACGUGGAACACAUUGUGGAAACUUAUAGCUAGCGAGUAUUUCCUUAAAGUUUUCACCCAUUUCGCCCAGCAGAAAUAUUAAAAAAUGAUCAAUCGGAUAACAAAUUAUAUAUCUACAUAUAUAAUAAAUAUAUUAACAGUUAUGCUGAUGCCCAGAGGCGUGGAUUUUCCGCAAAACAUGAAACAUGUAUACAAUACAUAUUCACAAAGUUAUUUUAAUUUGAAGCGCAUUGAUUGUCAGUCAGCCAAUGAUGCAGGAAAAAGCACGUAUAUUAUGAAUAAUGUAAAUAUGUGGAUUCUAAAUGAAACGAAUGUAGAAUAAACUCAAUAUAUUUCAGCCUUCUAACUUUCAAUAAAUUUGUUUUUUUUUUCGCAAAAACUGACUGCUUGAAUUGCCAGCUGAUGCCCUGUUGCAUAUGAAACCCAUAUUGAUCAGUUCAAGAACCUAUAAGGAUAACUCUGGCACAUAUCAAAGCUAGCCUGUCAGCUGCCAAGAGCGAGCAACGCUUCAAUAACUCAGCCGGAAUCGUGUUCACCCCUUUGUGCGUGCCACAUACCAAAUGCAAAUGCAAAUUCAUGGGGCACGCUCUCUGGGCCAUGGCUGCUUUGACUGCUUUGCAUAUUGACAUCAUCAUUUUGCCGAGACGACAAACUGUCAAACAAAACAAUUGCUGUCAAAUUUACUACAAUGAGCCGGGCGCUGAAAGCGGCCAAAGGAAGUGAGAUGAAUAAAAAGCCAAAAUAUGGGAGAAAUAAAAAUGCUCGAUAGAAAAAAA